AGAUCAAUACUGGCAGUUCCAACGCGAAGAACCUCACGGGGCCUCUCGUGGCGAACGGGUGAAGUAACACGUAAAGGAACCCGGCCCGCGCACCGGGAAUACGCUCUGGAAACGGAGAACAAAUCCCGACGUACAGGAAGGAGGCAUCUUCCUUUCCGUGAAACAUCCUUUAGGGGAUGGGGCGCGGAUGGACCUGCGGUGCAUUAGUUGGUUGGCGGGGUAAAGGCCCACCAAGACGAUGAUGCAUAGCCGGCCUGAGAGGGCGGACGGCCACAUUGGGACUGAGACACGGCCCAGACUCCUGCGGGAGGCAGCAGUAGGGAAUUUUCGUCAAUGGGCGCAAGCCUGAACGAGCGAUGCCGCGUGAGUGAAGAAGGCCUUCGGGUCGUAAAGCUCUGUUGCGGGGGAAAAAAGGCAGCAUCAGGAAAUGGGUGCUGACUGAUGGUGCCCCGCCAGAAAGUCACGGCUAACUACGUGCCAGCAGCCGCGGUAAUACGUAGGUGGCGAGCGUUAUCCGGAAUGAUUGGGCGUAAAGGGUGCGCAGGCGGUCCUGCAAGUCUGGAGUGAAACGCAUGAGCUCAACUCAUGCAUGGCUUUGGAAACUGGAGGACUGGAGAGCAGGAGAGGGCGGUGGAACUCCAUGUGUAGCGGUAAAAUGCGUAGAUAUAUGGAAGAACACCAGUGGCGAAGGCGGCCGCCUGGCCUGUUGCUGACGCUGAGGCACGAAAGCGUGGGGAGCAAAUAGGAUUA
rnacentral:rRNA from 1 species